UUACGGUCACAUCACAUUUGAAACAGCGGUUCCCGUACUAUUACCAAAGUUAAGCAACGUUGAGCCUGGUCAGUACCUAGAUGGGUGACGGCUUGGAAAUAACAAGAGAUGUA
rnacentral:rRNA from 1 species